CGAGCAGCUUCGCUAAAAGUAAGGGUGUCGUGCUGAUGGCCCUGUGGGCGCUGACCCGCGCUCUGCGCUCUCUGAGCCUGGCGCCCCCGACCGUCGCUGCCCCUGCCCCAAGUCUGUUCCCCGCCGCCCAGAUGAUGAACAAUGGCCUCCUCCAACAGCCCUCUGCCUUGAUGUUGCUCCCCUGCCGCCCAAUCCUUACUUCUGUGGCCCUUAAUGCCAACUUUGUGUCCUGGAAGAGUCGUACCAAGUACACCAUUGCACCAGUGAAGAUGAGGAAGUCUGGGGGCCGAGACCACACAGGCCGAAUCCGGGUGCAUGGUAUUGGCGGGGGCCACAAGCAACGUUAUCGCAUGAUUGACUUUCUGCGUUUCCGUCCUGAGGAGACCAAGUCAGGACCCUUUGAGGAGAAGGUUAUCCAAGUCCGCUAUGAUCCCUGUAGGUCAGCAGACAUAGCUCUGGUUGCUGGGGGCAGCCGGAAACGCUGGAUCAUCGCCACGGAAAACAUGCAGGCUGGAGAUACAAUCUUGAACUCUAACCACAUAGGCCGAAUGGCAGGUGAGAGAUGGCUACCAGAUGUGUGGGCUGGAGGCAGCAAAGGUUCUAGAGCUAAUGAAAUCCUGUCUUUUAGUUGCUGCUCGGGAAGGGGAUGCGCAUCCUCUUGGGGCUCUGCCUGUGGGGACCCUCAUCAACAACGUGGAAAGUGAGCCAGGCCGGGGUGCCCAAUAUAUCCGAGCUGCAGGUAUGGGGAAAGGAGUUGCCUGGGUCCUAUAGUUUGGAAAGGCAAGGAGAGUCUGAACCCAUGGUUCCACAUCUGGUACUGGCAGAGAAAAUUAAGGAAGAAACAAACAUGAGGAUGAAGUUAUGCAUGUGUUUUGACCUAAAACGUAGCACGCGUCCUUCUUUGUGUAUCUGCUCCUAAAGAGCAAAGCAAGGGCUGCAUGUGGGGUAUGUCCCCUAUGUAAGUCCCUCUGCACCCCCGUUUUGUAGAAGGUGGCAAAUCGGCUUCUUUCCCCAGGGA
rnacentral:sRNA from 1 species